GGAGAGAUGGCUCAGUGGUUAAGAGCACUGACUGCUCUUCCAGAGGUCCUGAGUUCAAAUCCCAGCAACCCCA
rfam:Mus musculus chromosome 10, GRC primary reference assembly.